CCUAGCCCUUCAGAGGGGGACAACAGUUGGAAACGACUGCUAAUACCGCAUACGAUCCAAUCUCGGCAUCGAGACUGGAUGAAAGGUGGCCUCUAUUUAUAAGCUAUCACUGAAGGAGGGGAUUGCGUCUGAUUAGCUAGUUGGAGGGGUAACGGCCCACCAAGGCGAUGAUCAGUAGCCGGUCUGAGAGGAUGACCGGCCACAUUGGGACUGAGACACGGCCCAA
rnacentral:rRNA from 1 species